AGUGAACGCUGGCGGUAGGCCUAACACAUGCAAGUCGAACGGCAGCACAGUAAGAGCUUGCUCUUACGGGUGGCGAGUGGCGGACUGGUGAGGAAUACAUCGGAAUCUACUUUUUCGUGGGGGAUAACGUAGGGAAACUUACGCUAAUACCGCAUACGACCUACGGGUGAAAGCAGGGGAUCUUCGGACCUUGCUCGAUUGAAUGAGCCGAUGUCGGAUUAGCUAUUUGUGGGUGUAAAGGCCCACCAAGGCGACGAUCCGUAGCUGGUAUGAGAGGAUGAUGCGCCACACUGGAACUGAGACACGGUACCGACUUCUAAGGGAAGCAGCAGUGGGGAAUAUUAGACAAUGGACGAAAGCCUGAUCCAGCCAUACCGCGUGAGUGAAGAAGGACUUCGGGUUGUAAAGCCCUUUUGUUGGGAAAGAAAAGAAGCAGGUUAAUACCAGGCUGUUAUGACGGUACCCGAAGAAUAAGCACCGGCUAACUUCGUG
rnacentral:rRNA from 1 species